GACGAACGCUGGCGGCGUGCUUAACACAUGCAAGUCGAACGGAAAGGCCCUGCUUGUGUGGGGUGCUCGGGUGGCGAACGGGUGAGUAACACGUGAGUAACCUGCCCUUGACUUUGGGAUAACUUCAGGAAACUGGGGCUAAUACCGGAUAGGAGCUCCUGCUGCAUGGUGGGGGUUGGAAAGUUUCGGCGGUUGGGGAUGGACUCGCGGCUGAUCAGCUUGUUGGUGGGGUAGUGGCUUACCAAGGCUUUGACGGGUAGCCGGCCUGAGAGGGUGACCGGCCACAUUGGGACUGAGAUACGGCCCAGACUCCUACGGGAGGCAGCAGUGGGGAACAUUGCACAAUGGGCGGAAGCCUGAUGCAGCAACCUCGCGGGCGGGAUGACGGCCUUCGGGUUGUAAACCGCUUUCGCCUGUGACGAAGCGUGACUGACGGUAAUGGGUAAAGAAGCACCGGCUAACUACGUG
rnacentral:rRNA from 1 species